rnacentral:rRNA from 1 species
GACGAACGCUGGCGGCGUGCUUAACACAUGCAAGUCGAACGGAAAGGCCCUGCUUUUGUGGGGUGCUCGAGUGGCGAACGGGUGAGUAACACGUGAGUACCCUGUCCUUGACUUUGGGAUAACUUCAGGAAACUGGGGCUAAUACCGGAUAGGAGCUCCUGCUGCAUGGUGGGGGUUGGAAAGUUUCGGCGGUUGGGGAUGGACUCGCGGCUUAUCAGCUUGUUGGUGGGGUAGUGGCUUACCAAGGCUUUGACGGGUAGCCGGCCUGAGAGGGUGACCGGCCACAUUAGGACUGAGAUACGGCCCAGACUCCUACGGGAGGCAGCGGUGGGGAAUAUUGCACAAGGGGCGGAAGCCUGGUGCAGCAACGCCGCGUGGGGGAUGACGGCCUUCGGGUUGUAAACCGCUUUCGCCUGUGACGAAGCGUGAGUGACGGUAAUGGGUAAAGAAGCACCGGCUAACUACGUG